ACAUACAAGUUGAAGGUUUAGAUGAAGUUAAUAUUUCUGAUAACUCAGGAAGCUCCACAGGAUCAAACCAGUCCAAACACAGAUCAGGUUCUACAGUUACUUCCAAUGUUGUCUCGCUGACUGAGGAUGUUCGAGAGUAUGCCAAUGAUUUUAUUUUUAUUAGAAUCAAUUUUAUUUAUAAAGAAUCCCAUAAGUCAUUACUGCUGAGAGCUAAUGGAAUAGAUGACUCAACAGAGCUAUGACUCUGUGUAAGUUUAGCAACUGUACUAAAGAGAAACCUAGGAUUAUUCUUGUUCUCUUCUAGUAAUGAUGAAAAAUAUGCCUGUCUAGUGUAGCAAAGGUACUUUUUAUACAACAGUAGGCUAUUUUUCCAGAUUAAGUAGGACUCAUCUAGAUGUGUAGAGCACCAUGUUCUCUCCAGUUUCCUAGCGUUGUGCAUUCAAGUACGCAGCUUUUAAUUAAACCAGGGAGCCUUUCUCUUAUGAAUAAUUAUCUUUUGUUUAUGGUUUGUUUAAGGAUUCCACAACAAGUUUGAAAAAUACAAACGUUUUGGGUGAAUUUGGUUAACAUAUUAAUUAAUGACAAUUAAUUAAUUAUAAUAACUGAUAAAAGCUGGUAGCCCAAUAAUCACAAUCUAUAGUAUAAUUCUAAUAUCUAAUAUCUAAAUGACAUAUUAUGAUUAAGUAUAAUUGUAAUAAAUAUUCAUAAAUCAAAUAAUCAUAAUUGCACAACAGAAUGCUUUAGGUUUCUUAACAAGAUGCUGGAAACAUCUAUCAACAGUCACAUAUAGCUGGUGACAUGCAGCAUCUACUUUAGAAAUUCUAGCUUUAAAUGUUUCAUUAUCCUUCAGUUGCAGUCAGUUCAGAAUCAGAAUCUGCCUGAUUAGUAACUCAUAGCUCUCUCUAACAGGCAGAACAUUUACAGCAGUGCCAUGGCAGGAGGUGUGGCCACACCGCCCAUGCUUAUAGUUUUUCAUGACAAAUACACAACGCUGGAUCCUCUGUGGCAUGUCCGACACCUGGGCUGGAGCCCAGAUGCCCACUAUUCAGAGAGCUUCCUCCAGGAGGCACACUUGUUGCAUUGGAAUGGUCGAUUCAAACCAUGGAAUUACCAGGCCGUCCACUCGCAUCUGUGGGAAAAGUGGUUCAUACCUGACCCGUCUGGAAGAUUCACUUUGACACGGCCUAAUAGUGAUAAAUAAGGCCAACCAGCUUUUUUAAUUUCUCCUUCAUUUUUGUGGUGUAAGUUUUUCUUGAGUGUGUUCAAAUGUGAACUUAAGAUGUGGAAACAAGAAGUCCAUACUUGAAAACUUGGAUAACAAACUCUGAAUCAUUGUUCUUACACUGACAAGUAAAUUGUGAAUAGUGAAUACCCUAUAAUAAUUGAAUAAUUAGUUCAACUUUACAAUUUAGGAAAGCAAUAUACAAACAGAUAUUUAAUAAUGGAUUCAAAAAUCCACUUUAAAACUCCUUUAAUUUUUUUUUGCUACUUUUUUGUACUAUAACGAGGUGCUGGUGUUGGGGUUGCCAAGUGAUGCCUCUCCUCUAAGAUGUCCAAAAAGGGUUUUAAUCAUUUUUUUUUUUUUGCCUGUAAAGUUUUAAGUAUCAUUUAUGAACACAUUUAAAGUGCUGUAUAAAAGUAUUUCUUCUGGAUUUUCUUUGUAACUAAAAAAUGUUAGUUUUUUUUUAUCAUCAAAUUGUCAUGAAUCACUGUUUUUUGCAUGAAUCUGUUUUUUGUUUUUUGCUCCCUCCUUAUUUGUUCAUCUGUUGUCAUCCCUGAGUGUUACGACCCCACUCGGUCUAGGGGUAAGAGGAAGUAAACAUUUGAACCAGG